rnacentral:lncRNA from 10 species
CAGGUCAACAGUUCUCAGUUUUUGGUCCCUGAGGAGCAGCAUCAUCAUCACCUAGGAACUUGUUAGAAAGAUGCUCCUUGAAAUUUGAGAACUACAACUCCACCUCUUGGACUUGAGGAUGAGGAAGGCUUGGUCAGCUUGUUUAUUCCCUAAGGAUACUACAAGGAUACUCUAGUCAUCUUCAUAUAAAAUGAUCAAGGUGAAGAAAUAUAAAAUGAUCAAGGUGAAGAAAAUAACCAAGGUGACUCCACUGAAAAACAAGCCCCUGUGACUCACUUUAUCAUUGAGACCUGGCUAAGAAAUGGGUGUAAGGAAAAAGAGCUGGGCAUGGUGGCUACGCCUGUAAUUCCAGCAUUUUGGGAGGCUGAAGGAGGUGGAUCGCUUGAGAUCAGGAGUUCGAGACCAGCCUGGCCAACAUGGUGAAACCCCGUCUCUACUAAAAAUACAAAAAUUAGCCAGGUGUGAUGGUGCGCACCUGUAGUCCCAGCUACUGGGGAGGCUGAGGCAUGAGAAUUGCUUGAACCCAGGAGGCCGAAGUUGCGGUGAGUUGAGAUGGUGCCACUGCACUCCAACCUGGGCGACAGAGUGAGAACUCCACCUCAAAAAACAAAUAAACAAAAAAAAAGUUUUCCCUUUUCUGAAUAUCAGUUUCACCUUGCACAGAAUUGGAAUAGAGAUAGCAAUUUUAUACAUUUUGGGAAAUGUUUAAUGAUAUCACAGAUAUUGUGUGCCUGGUAUAGGUUUUGAUAAAUUUUAACUAUUUCUAGCCCCUUCUCUCCUCUUCCAGUUUCUCUGCAAGGGAGGUAGGGAGAAAUGAAUAUUAAAAGUCAAAUUGGUAUUCGCUGAAGUCAUUUAAUAAAUGUUUCUUGAGCAUCUACUUUGUUACAGACUAGAGAUACAAAGAUGAAUGAGUUAGUAUUCACAUCCUCAAGGAACUCAUUUUAGUAUAAUGAUUAUUAAACCAAGAAUAAUAAGAUAUGCAUAAAUAAAAAUUUCUCCUCAUAGAGCAUGAAAAUAUCAAUCCUGCACUUACCACUAUUCUCCCUUGUACCUGAAAAAAUUAUUACUUUAAUAUUCUUAGUUUUUAUAUUUUUUAAUUAUACUUUAAAUAUAUAGCUAAACAUUUAGACAAACACAACAAUCUAUAUCCAUUCAGGUUUAAUUAGUGUCAUUGAAUUUUUCAGGUUUCUUUAUUCUUCCUAGUGAUAUCAUAUUAAAUUUGCAGUUUUAAAACAAAUACUAUAAAAACAGUAUGAAAGAAGUUUAUUUUUAGGACUGUUGAAUGAUUUUUUUAAUGAACAAAUGAGAAAGAGUGUUUUCAUAUAGCAUGCGUUAAGGAAAAAAUUAUCCAUUUGAAAAAACUUUUAUUUUUAAUUUACCACUCAAUGUUCAUUAAACAGAGAAUUGUUGUGGAUCUGUGCACGGUUCAGAAAAGUGAAUAUCAAUGAAAUAUAGCACACACAACAGUUGAAUGGUCCCUAAAUUGUUAUUACUAUCAUUUCAAUUAUUUAUGCAGUAAACUGUAUAAUAUAACAAUAACAUUAAAAGAUGAAUACAGACCUUAGCUCCCUGAUGUGCUACUUCUUCCUCCAAAUCAUAUUUACAAUUAACCAGAAGUUGGAAUUCCAAGUCUUAUUGAGAAAUAGUUCACUUGCUUUUGAAUUGUACCAGCUUCUUCUCCGAGUCUCCCUACUGAACUCCAUGUCUGAUGAAACAUUUAUUUGAACAAACAAAAUACAUAUGUACAAAUAAAUACAAGUGUCAGGAGCUGACAUACGAAUGCAAACACAUGUCUUUCCCCAGGCCCACUAUGACACCGUGACAGGCUAAAGAGCCUUUUGAAUGGAAACUACAUAAAGCAUCAAGCCCCUGAAAAGAAUGACCAGACAAAAGUGCCACAAUCAAUUGAAUGUCUUUAGGAGAUACACUUUUCUUUUAAAAAGCGUGACGCUUUGAUGACUCAGUGGCAGGACAGGUGACAAAGGAAUGGCUGCCUGGAGGCUGUGCAUGGCAGGAGGAGACACCACAGUCUUCCCGCCCUGCCACCCGUCCCUGCCGCCUGACUGUGGAAGGAUGAAGGACACUUUUAGAAAUUUCCCUGCGCGGAGAUGCCAGGAAACCAAUCAUCGCCCAGCCACUUUGUGGGGCCAUUAGCAGAGCGUCAAACUCCAUCUUUGUUUAAACGAAAGCACAAAGAAAAUAAUUUUUCAUCUGAGGAAUCACCUUAAGAUCCCCAAAUGGAAAGUAAGGGGAGCAGUAAACCUCUCACUCCGGGUGGGCAGCUCUAACACAGGGCAUUAAGGUAAGAAGGUUAUUUAUGACAGAAGAAAGGAGACAGGAUUCCAAAGUGGGAGACGAAGGACAGAGGUGAUUGGAGCCUAGCUUUAUCCCCUGCCCCAUUCAAAUGCGGAGGGCAAUGACUUCCAUAAGAAACCAGGUGCCACACGUGACCCAAAGGCAAAAGCCUCACUUUAACUCCUUGAUAUGGUCUGGCUGUGUUCCCACCCAAAAUCUCAUCUGGAAUUGUAGUCCCCAUAAUCCCUGUGUGUGUCAAGGGCAGAACCAGGUGGAGGUAAUCGGAUCAUGGGGGCGUUUCCCCCAUGCUGUUCUCGUGAUAGUGAGUGAGUCUCACGAGAUCUGAUGGUUUAAUAAGCGUCUGGCAUUUCCCCUGCUGGCACUCAUUCUUUCUCCUGCUGUCCUGCGAAGAGGUGCCUUCUGCCAUGAUUGUUAGUUCCUGAGGCCUCCCCAGCCAUGCGAACUGUGAGUCAAUUAAACUUGUUUUCUUUAUAAAUCACCCCGUCUCAGGUAUUUCUUCAUAGCAGCAUGAGAAUGGACUAAUAGGCUCCUCUUCCAGGUAAGUUAGGCAGAGUACGUUUCCUCCACAAAACAAAAGAUGGUUGCCUCAGAAUGCCUCCUAACUUUGCCUGCAAGAAGCCUGCAGUAAGACCUUUUCUUAGGGCCAGUCUGAAGGCCACACCCUCCCCUUAUCCCCUAAUUUUGGAUGCAAAAGGUCUCCCUGAGACUUCAGGUGAAGAGGAUUUGACUUUGGAAUCUGGGAUUCACUUUUCAGACUGACCUUCUGCUAUAUUUUGUUUUGCUUCUCUGGGAUUUCAAGCUUGAGAAUAGAGUAAGGAAAAAAGUUCUGUGUUCUCCUUUGGGAAAUUAUUUUCCCUGGUCCCCUUGGUCAGAGGGUAGCAGGUAAGUCUUGAUGGGAUUGUUCUGUGUUUCCAGGCUUCCCUCUGGAAUUAAUCUCAGAGGCAUGGAAGGGAGCCUGAUGGACUCUUCUGGGCUGUGUCCCAGUCAGGAAGCGAGAUCUUUCUAAUUCCCAGACAGGCCAGCGCUUUCUGCUGAACAGAGGCCUGCUAGACCCUGAGUAGGGGAAGCCCAGGCUGCUUCUGAGGCAAAUGAUGACCUUAAUCAUUUUCAGAGGUAUGGUUUUCACCUGGGAAGGGACGUGAGACGGCAACAAGGCAUUCAGUGAAUAUUUAUGAGUGAGCGGAAAAAACUCUUUCCUCCUGUACGUGGCAGAAAGGGUAGCUGGAAGCUGUGCCAAUGUAGGAGACCAGGAAUUCCUAGCCUGGGAGGAAGGAAGGGCAGGGAUGCAAAGGGACAGAGGGAGAAGAGGAAGCAAAUUCCAGCCAGGCUGGCUCUCCUAGGAGGAGUGGCAGUGAUGAAACCCUCUUCUUUAGACUCUGUCUUAGAGAAGGAUGGGGCCCGAAGAGGUUUCCUCUUUCAGCAAGUGUUGGGGUGUGUGUGUGUGUGCGGGGAUUUAAUCAGGGGAUCUACGAGCACAUUCACAGACCCUUAGCUACUAGUGCUGCCCAAUUCCAAGCAUGUUUAGCUUUAAGUACCUCUUGUCUGGUAAUCCAGGGCCAGAUAUCUGGAGGUGGGAACUGGCUGCCAUAGCCUGUUGCUCCCCACAAGGAUGAGGACAAGGGCUCCACUGGGCACCUUUCCUAGGCAUGGCCAGGGUUGUUAUAAAGCAUAGGGUGGGAGGGUGGUUGUGGCUUUCUGUGGUAUAGCUACUGAUCAAUGUAGCAUUUGAUUGAUCCAUUUUCUCCAGAGGAGAAGGGAGUGUGGUGGGAAAAUCCUGAGGCUGAGGAGGUGGAUACUUACAGGUCCUGGUCCAACUGACUGGGAUCUUAGGAUCACUCCCUUCUCCAACCUGAGUGGUUCCCCGCCUUUUUUUUUUUUUUUUUUUUUUUUUUGAGAUGUAGUCCCACCCUGUUGCCCAGGCUGGAGUGCGGUGGCAUGAUCUCGACUCACUGCAAGCUCCGCCUCCCGGGUUCACGCCAUUCUCCUGCCUCAGCCUCCAGAGUAGCUGAGACUACAGGCACCUGCCACCACGCCUGGCUAAUUUUUUGUAUUUUUAGUAGAGAUGGGGUUUCACCGUGUUAACCAGGACAGUCUCGAUCUCCUGACCUCGUGAUCUGCCUGCCUCGGCCUCCCAGAGUGCUGGGAUUACAGGCGUGAGCCACCAUGCCUGGCCAACAUUUUUUUUUUUUUUUUUUUUAAUUACAGAAUCAUCUGACAAAGGAACUCUUUUAAGGAGCCUUAACAUAUCAAAAGAUCAAGGCAGAGCCGCCCUCAUUGAAGGGUUUGGAGGACCUGGAGCUUACCCUCUUCUCUCCUUCCCUGACUGGGAG